UACGUAGGGCGCAAGCGUCGUCCGGAAUUAUUGGGCGUAAAGAGCUCGUAGGCGGCUUGUCACGUCGGGUGUGAAAGCCCGGGGCUUAACCCCGGGUCUGCAUUCGAUACGGGCUGGCUAGAGUGUGGUAGGGGAGAUCGGAAUUCCUGGUGUAGCGGUGAAAUGCGCAGAUAUCAGGAGGAACACCGGUGGCGAAGGCGGUCUGCUGGGCCGUUGCUGACGCUGAGGCGCGACAGCGUGGGGAGCAAACAGG
rnacentral:rRNA from 1 species